AAUAAAUUUAAAAAAAUUACAUUAUAAUACAAUAAAUAAAAAAAUUGAAAUUAUUGUUUGUUGAGGACUAAGAAGAAAUUACCCACAUGUAUUUGAAUUACAUGUCGAAAACAAAUAUUUACUUCCCUAAAACUUGAAUGGACCUACAUGUUCAGUAGUUAGACCACAUUAUGCGUCAAAAAAAAAUCCAGAAACGCUAAGAACAGGUUUCGAAUGGGCACCUCAAAGAUCACAUAUAGUGGUAAACCCAGAAAAAGAUGGAUUCUGUUUGUGUAAUAUGUAUAAGGAGGAUUUGGAAGGGUUGGGUAUAGUAAAUUGGAAAUUAAGUAGUAUGAUAUACGGACGGUGGCCAGAGAGUAAAGAGUAGAAGAAGA